rnacentral:rRNA from 1 species
GGGUGUGUAAGCGCAGCGAUGCGUUGAGCUAACCGGUACUAAUGAACCGUGAGGCUUAACCUUACAACGCCGAAGGUGUUUUGGCGGAUGAGAGAAGAUUUUCGGCCUGAUACAGAUUAAAUCAGAACGCAGAAGCGGUCUGAUAAAACAGAAUUUGCCUGGCGGCCUUAGCGCGGUGGUCCCACCUGACCCCAUGCCGAACUCAGAAGUGAAACGCCGUAGCGCCGAUGGUAGUGUGGGGUCUCCCCAUGCGAGAGUAGGGAACUGCCAGGCAUCAAAUUAAGCGAAAGGCCAUCCGUCAGGAUGGCCUUUUUGCGUUGGUGAAAAAAAUGCCUGAUGCGACGCUGCGCGUCUUAUACUCCCACAUAUGCCAGAUUCAGCAACGGAUACGGUUUCCCCAACUUGCCUACUUCCAUACGUGUCCUCCUUACCAGAAAUUUAUCCUUAAGCUCCUCAAUAACCAUUUUCCUGCUAACUAAAUUCAUGGUUAAGGUUGCAUAAUGAUACGUAACAAAUGUAUAACAUUUUCUUUGCCAAAAGAAAUAAAC